rnacentral:rRNA from 1 species
GACGAACGCUGGCGGCGUGCUUAACACAUGCAAGUCGAACGGAAAGGCCCCUUUGGGGGUACUCGAGUGGCGAACGGGUGAGUAACACGUGAGUAACCUGCCCUUGACUUCGGGAUAACUUCAGGAAACUGGGGCUAAUACCGGAUAGGAAUCCUUGCUGCAUGGUGGGGGUUGGAAAGCUUCGGCGGUUUUGGAUGGACUCGCGGCUUAUCAGCUUGUUGAUGGGGUAGUGGCUUACCAAGGCUUUGACGGGUAGCCGGCCUGAGAGGGCGACCGGCCACAUUGGGACUGAGAUACGGCCCAGACUCCUACGGGAGGCAGCAGUGGGGAAUAUUGCACAAUGGGCGGAAGCCUGAUGCAGCAACGCCGCGUGCGGGAUGACGGCCUUCGGGUUGUAAACCGCUUUCAGCAGGGGCGAAGCUUGUGGUGACGGUACCUGCAGAAGAAGCACCGGCUAACUACGUG